CUCAGAAUAGUAAAAUAUAAUACGCUGGAGUUAAGGUUCAGAGAUGGGCUACUGUUCUUCUGAGA
rnacentral:tRNA from 1 species